rnacentral:rRNA from 1 species
UACGGGGGGGGCAAGCGUUGUUCGGAAUUACUGGGCGUAAAGGGCUCGUAGGCGGCCAACUAAGUCAGACGUGAAAUCCCUCGGCUUAACCGGGGAACUGCGUCUGAUACUGGAUGGCUUGAGUUUGGGAGAGGGAUGCGGAAUUCCAGGUGUAGCGGUGAAAUGCGUAGAUAUCAGGAGGAACACCGAUGGCGAAGGCAGCUCGCUGGGACGAUACUGACGCUGAGGCGCGAAAGCGUGGGGAGCAAACAGG